rnacentral:rRNA from 1 species
GACGAGGGGUCCCAAGCGUUGCUCGGAAUCAUUGGGCGUAAAGCGGAUGUAGGUGGUUCUAUAAGUCGGGAGUGAAAGCCCUGGGCCUAACCCAGGAAGUGCUUUCGAUACUGCAGAACUUGAGUGUGGGAGAGGAUGGUAGAAUACCUGGUGUAGUGGUGAAAUACGUAGAUAUCAGGUGGAAUUCCGGUGAGGAAGCUGGCUGUCUGGCCCAACACUGACACUGAGAUCCGAAAGCU